CGGACGGGUGAGUAACGCGUGAGAAUCUGCCUUCAGGAUGGGGACAACAAUUGGAAACGAUUGCUAAUACCCGAUAUGACGAAAGUUGAAAGAUUUAUCGCCUGGAGAUGAGCUCGCGUCAGAUUAGCUAGAUGGUGUGGUAAAGGCGCACCAUGGCGACGAUCUGUAGCUGGUCUGAGAGGAUGAGCAGCCACACUGGGACUGAGACACGGCCCAGACUCCUACGGGAGGCAGCAGUGGGGAAUUUUCCGCAAUGGGCGCAAGCCUGACGGAGCAAUACCGCGUGAGGGAGGAAGGCUCUUGGGUCGUAAACCUCUUUUCUCAGGGAAGAACACAAUGACGGUACCUGAGGAAUAAGCAUCGGCUAACUCUGUGCCAGCAGCCGCGGUAAUACAGAGGAUGCAAGCGUUAUCCGGAAUGAUUGGGCGUAAAGCGUCCGUAGGUGGUUUUGUAAGUCUGUGGUUAAAGCGUGGAGCUUAACUCCAUAACGGCCAUGGAAACUACCAGACUAGAGUUAAGUAGGGGUAGAGGGAAUUCCCAGUGUAGCGGUGAAAUGCGUAGAGAUUGGGAAGAACACCGGUGGCGAAAGCGCUUUACUGGACUUAUACUGACACUGAGGGACGAAAGCUAGGGGAGCGAAUGGGAUUAGAUAC
rnacentral:rRNA from 1 species